GGAUUUUGGGUUAUAAAUCUAACACAUUCUAUGAGCGGUAGUGGAUUUGACUUGAAUCUGGUUUAGCACUAUUUUUCCUAACACUAACAUGGUGCUUGGAAUCCAAAUAUACAUCUAAGACCUAAUAUAAAGGGAAGAAGAAAUGAGAGUUUAAAGAGGCUUUUUGCAACCCAAAUUCCUAUAAUUGAAAGAAAUGUGAGGUGAAUAGAAUUACAUUCUCAAUGAACUAACAAACAAAACCCUAAUCCUAUUACAAUUCGGUUUGUCUUUAUCUCGUUGCUUUGUAACUCUAUCCCUGCUGCAUCAUAUCCAUGAAUUGGGUAUCCAUGGCUGUGUUGGAUCUUCAUUCGAACACUUCCAUUCCAUGACUUAAAUUUGAAUUCUUUGGACUUUGUAAGUGUGGGUUAAAUAGAUUUUACAAAAGCCCUAAAUAAGAAAACACAUAUAAUUACAGGCCUAAAAUCCUCCUAAUUAGUAUGAGUAAUUAUUUUCUAAUAUAAUGCAUGAUUAAAGGGAUUCCUUAUCUAUUUAUAGAUUCUUAACAGUUCUAAUAAUUUGUGUUAAAAGUGCACGACUGCAGGAAAAUGUGCUGUUAAUUCU
rnacentral:misc_RNA from 1 species